UUGAUCUCAAAUCAGGUAGGAGUACCCGCUGAACUUAAGCAUAUCU
rnacentral:rRNA from 1 species